AUGAACUUCUUAGGGAAGUAUGGAUCAACAGUGAACAUGUAAAUUCCCAAGUACAUUACAUGUAGAUGAUGCUUCACCUUGAUUAUUUAUCAUGUGUUGCACAUCUACAGUCAAGCUUUGGGAUUGUCUUGUUAAUGUACAAAAGAUAUCAUUUUCUAGUAGCAUAAAUGCAUAAUAUAUUAUUAAUAUUAAUUCUUGCAAAAUGUAUAAAUUCCAUAAAAAAUUAUUACAUGAUUUGAUGUUUUUAAAUUUGAGAAAUAUACUAAUUUAUUUCCAAAUUAGUGAAUCAA
rnacentral:misc_RNA from 1 species